rnacentral:lncRNA from 1 species
AAAUUCUCCCCCCUGUCCCAUCAGCGUCGCCGCCGCACACCACCUGGUCUCCUACCUCGUUUUCCUCCACCUACCGAUCACGCACCAGAUCCAUGCCGAGCCAAACCUGAGCCAAUCCCCUCUUCCCUCCUUGAUCGGUUCCCAGCCAGCCCCGCACCUCGCCUCAGCCUGCUCCUCUUGCAUGCGUUGCUCCCGCUUCCCUCCCGAGCAACCCGAGGAACCGGAGCCGCGGCCUCCCGGCUGUGUUCGAGCCGCAGCGACAAGGUGACCGAGCCUAGCUGCAGGAGCAGCCGAGCCGCCCCAUGGGGCCUCGAUCCAAUAGCUGCAGCACCUACCUCGGCCAGGAGCACCCCCAUGCCCGGAGCUGAUUCUUACCCGCGUCCCGCACCAAGUAGCAGCAGCAACCCCGGUCGCCCUAAGAACCUGCAGGCCAGAGCCCUCUCCUCCUCUCUCGUCUAGUCUCUUUUCCUCUCCUCAAGAUCUUUUCCUCUUUCUGUGUAUAGUGCAGCAGCAGGAGAAAGCCAUGGCGCCCACUCUCGUGUCUGUCGGAGCUGUGCCCGAUGCCUACAGCCUCGGGAACGGGACCCCCUCGUCCGGUUAUGCCCGGCCCGCUGGCGAAGAUCCCCGCCGAAGCCGCCCCUGCAGUCUCUGAUGAGCUGAGCCGCCACAGCCUGCAUCCCGUCCUGGCAACAGAGAUAUCUCUGUUUCGUGAUUCAGUUUCGUCAGACUCGCCCCACGGUAUGGUUCAUCUGGCACAAACCCUGCAAUAUAUCACUCGAACAUGCAUAGGUCAACUGGCUUGUGACAACCGGUUCCAUCCCAGAGAUUUGGGGUUCGAAUCCCAGUAGCGCCAUAUUUAUUUUGCCAGCUUUUUCAUCAGUUUUUUCAUCAAAGUCGCUGUAAGGGUGCUUCACCUAGAGCAAUACUGCUUCUGUUAGCAUAAUUCUUGUGUAGCCAACUGGUUAGUCUGUUGUAUAGUGACCGUGAGGUCGUGGGUUCGAGUCCCCGGUGUGCCCUUUUGUUUUUCUGGUGUGUUAACUUGGUUCGAGUCAUAGCUUCCUUGCCUGAUGGCUCUACUAGUUCAACUUGCCUGAUGGCUCUACUAGUUCAACUUGCCUGAUGGCUCUACUAGUUCAACUAGCAUGGGCUAGCCCAGUGGCUGUGUGUGUGUGCGUGUCUGUAGGAGAGGUGCAGGUUUGAUCCCCCCACGUGCACAUUUUUUUCUUUUAUUUUGAGUGUGUGUGUUGUGCGUUCUAGGCCCACUUGCAUACACCAACUAGGGGCCCUGGUGUGCAUGGCCAGUGGGACCCCCUGACGAUGAUACGUAUAUUGUUUUCUGUAGUAUUUUUGAGGUAUUUCCAAAUCUGGAAUAUUCUAGAUGAGGAAUAUGCAAAAUCUGGCAUAUAAGAACAGCCCCGUGUUCUUGUUAAUAUCGGAGUUUGAUCCUGUGUAGUUUUCCCUUUGCUGUUCGUGGUGUUUUUCUUCAUGCAUUUAUAGCACUGUAAUAUAUGGAUUUGGGGUAGCAGAACCCAAGGAAUCCAAUGAAGACACUAGUUUCCAGUUCUGAGCAGUUCUACAGAAGUGUCACUUUGUGAUGAGGCGGCACUUGUUUACUGAUGCAGGAUGGGUUAAGUGCAUCAAUAGGGGUUGAGAAUCCAUGCAUCAUAUUGGGUAGUGCAUCCUCUUGUGCAUGUCGUGUGGUGAAUAUGUUUGUUGAUGCUUGUUUUCGGUUCCCUUCGUCUCGAUAGAGUUCUGCAAGCGUGUUGGAUUGUGAGGACCCGUUCGACUACAUCGGUUCGUCUGCUUCACCGAGUUGUUCUUCUUCCAAGCGGGAUCUCAGGCAAGAUGACCAUUUCCCCAGAUACCAUUACUAUCAUUGCCAUGCUAGCUUUACCGCCUCUAUCGAUUAUGUCUCGUUGCCUACCACAUGUUAAAUAUCAGCCUCCCAAUCAUGCCAUGAUAACCUUCAACCUGUUCGACCUAGCAAACCACUGAUUGGCUAUGUUACUGUUUGCUUAACCAUGUUGUUAGCGUUGCUAGUUGCAGGUGUAGUUGCUUCCAUGCGAAAGCAUGGGUUCCUUGUUAUAUCACCAUAUUAAUGCUAUUUAACUUAAUGGACCUAUAUACUUGGUAAAAGGUGGAAGGCUCGGCCUUUCUAGCCUGGUGUUUUGUUCCACCUUUCUAGCCCCCUUAGUUUCGGCUACCGGUGUUAUGUUCCAUAAUUGAGCGCUCCUAACACGAUCGGGGUUGUUAUGGGGACCCCCUUGAUAAUUCGUUUUAGAUUAAAGCUGGUCUGGCAAGGCCCAACUUUGGUACUACAUUUGCCUAAUCACCUAAUAAAAUUGCAUAGGGACUUCCCGGGCCCCGAGGAUAAUUUAAUCAACCCCCGGGCCAGUGCUCCUCAUGAGUGUUGGUCCCACCUGAGCAAUGUCCGGCGCCCCUCUGGUCACCCGGAGGUUUAGCGAUCCCGACGUCUAGCUCAUCCGCCGUGUCCUGAGAACGAGGUACGCGACUCCUAUCGGGAUCGUCGACACGUCGGGCGGCCUUGCUGGAUUAGUUUUACCUUUGACGAGAUAUCUUGUGCAUCGGGAUUCCGGUGACGCUUUGGGUAAUCUCAGAGUUGAGGUUUUCCACUAUGGAAUCCGACGAGAUCGCGAGCUUCGUGAUUGAGGAUUUAUAUGCGGCUUGUGGUAAUUUGUGAUGGACUAGUUGGAGCACCCCUGCAGGGUUAAAUCUUUUGGAAAGCCGUGCCCGCGGCUAUGUGGCAACGUGGAAACUUUGUUUAACACUGGUUCUAGAUAACUUGAAGUUAACUUAAUUAAAACAUGCCAACUGUGUGCGUAACCGUGACUGUCUCUUUCGUGAGUUCUUACUCCGAUCGAGGACACGGUGGGGUUAUGUCUGACGUAGAUAGGUGUUCAGGAUCAUUCAUUUGAUCAUCAGUAGUUCACGUCCGUUAUGCGUAGAUCUUCCCCUUCUUAUUUCUUGUACUCAUAAGUUAGCCACCAAAUAUAUGCUUAGCCGCUGCUGCAACCUCACCACUUAACCAUGCCUCACCCAUUAAGCUUUGCUAGUCUUGAUACCUUUGGAAAUGAGAUUGCUGAGUCCCCUAUGGCUCACAGAUUACUACAACACCAGUUGCAGGCACAGGUAAAGGUUACCCGACGCGAGCGCGUUGAUUGUUCAUUUAGAGUUGCUUCUUCUUCUUCUUCUUCAUCGAUCUAGGAUGGGUUCCAGGCCGACAGCCUGGGAUAGCAAGGAUGGACGUCGUUCUUCUUUUGUCGUUUGUUUUCGUCCGUAGUCGGACCCUGCUCUUUCUCUUGAUGAUUAUGUAAUGUACUGUCGUGACUCUGAUGUAGCUUGUGGCGAGUGUAAGCCAACUCUCUAUAUAUAUCUCUUCUUUUCAGUACAUGUACUUGUAACGAUAUCCAUUCUUGCGACACGACGAGAUGCGCUUCUAUCCCUGACGAGGCCCCCGUGCCAAAUUGAGGAUAUGGUCGCAUCUUGGGUAUGACAAGUUGGUAUCAGAGCCGUACCAACCUAGGAGCCCCCUUGAUUGAUCGAACUUGGCCGAGUCGAGUCUAGUGAAAAACUGCUUUGAGUCUAGUUAUAUAUCGGAGAGUAGAGUUCUUUUUUCCCCUCUUCUAUGCUCUGGUGAGGAAUCUUGACGUAAUAUUUUAAUUCUACUCGUCUUCUCACUCAAUUUUUUUUUAGGAUCACGCGGAUAUUCUUGCGAUCUAUAUGAUGCCGAUGUGACGGAGUUCUGUCUUGGUGCCUCCUAUCUGCUUUAAGUUUCAGGGGAGUUGAGCUCCAGGGUAUUCUCGAGCACAUCGUUAUCAUUCAGAUUUCUUAGUAUCUCAGAACGAAGGAUGUUCGUAAUUGCUUCAAUACUAGUAGUGGCGAGAUAACCCCGAUGUCCCUAGUACUGGUGCAGAUUGUUUGGGAGUACUGCCAUACUUUGUAUCAUUGUGAUCAUGAGGGUCUGUUGUAGAUGAAGGUCCGAGAUUCUGGUUGUGUGUUGACGGAUGUGAUACAUGUGAUGGGUUAGUAUAGGAGUUGUGUUAUUAUUACUCCUUGUAUCCGUGUACCGGAUUGCAUGACCAGAUAUUUCGGGAAUUCAUAGGUGGGAAUUCAAGUAGUUGCUUAUAGGACAAUCUUCCAACAAAUUCUUGAUGUUAGGUUGGGGUUCGACAUCUAGUGGAUUCGUUUGUUCACGGUCGACUUACAGCGGUACACGUUGUGUCUUAAAGAGUCCUUGUAGCUUGCUACGACUCGGGGACGCUUUGUAUGUCGGGUGCACUGCCUUGCACUUGAUGGCUACUGUAAGGAUCGAGCCCGUGCGAUCCUGUCCAUGAAAAUAUCGGACGAAAUCUUUCUCAUGAGUUUGUUCUGGCUUGUUUCAUAAGCCUCAUCCUUUGUUUUUUUGAAUAUGGUAAUUCAAGUUGCUUCGAUGUCAACUGGUGAUUUCAGAUCUUUCAUAAGAGGUGUUCUCAUAUUUUUAUGUCAAUGCUAAUUCUUUUGCUCAAUUAGACUGUCAUGUCAAUUCUUGUCAACCGGAGUCAUCGUAUCAAUUCCAUUCAACCGGUGUGCUUCUCUGCAACUGAAUUCAAUCUUAUCUAAUUUUGCAAGAUCAUUCUCUCUUUUAUUCCGGAGUUCAUCUCAUCUAGCCCAAGUUGUCUUUGUUUUUCCCCACCCUCCCGCCCUUUUUCUCAGUGAUUCAAUUUUCAUCGAAGAGUUUUCUUUCAUGUGCUUCCGUUAUCUGUUCUUUUCUCUCUUACCCGGUGAUUCAUUGUGAAGAUUCUUAGGAGCUUCAUGUUCAUCUUUAUUCAUUCUUGUGGUCUUUUCCCGGUGAAUUUAAUUCAGCUAUCCGUGUUCAUUAUAUCCUUUUUCAUCCUUUAAAUUCUUUCCUGUGUUGGAAAUUCUUUUCAGCCCAUCUUGUUAUUCAUUCUUCUCUUUCUAUUCGGUGUGUUGAAGAUAUCUCGGAAGUUUCGUGUUUUCUAUUCUUUAAGUAUUUCGAGGUUCUCAACCUCAUGUAGUUUUCAUUUGUACCGGUGCAUUCAAUCUGUCUUUCAAUCCUUUUAACGGUGGUUUAUUUGAGUGGCCCCAUAACCCACAGGUUUUUCCCAGGAUCUUUCCUGGCUCUUUUAAUCUUUUUCCGGAGAUCAUUAAAUCUUUCAACUAUGACGUAAGUUUGAUUUUUAUCAGUCAUAUCCCUUCUUCGAGAUCUAUUGGAAUUAAUUCUCAUAUUUGGCUCAACCUUGCAUUUCUCUUAUUCCGGAGUGUUUCAGCUAUUUUUGGUGUUGUUCCUCGUCAUCAUUCUCUCCAUUGAAAAUUCGAAGGAGUGUUUUUCUCGAAUCUUGGUCUAUUCUCUUGGAGAUUCGUCAUUUCAGCUUCGUGUUGUCAUCUUGAAUUUAUUUUCAAUCAUGAGUAAUCCCUUUCUUGCGAUCCGGUGCAUUUCUGAGUUGUUUUAUUUCUCGUUCCUCCGAAGGCCAUCAUUUCAGAAGACUUCUUCGUUCUCAGCUUUCAGCUUUCGUUCUCUAAUUCUUCUCAAUUGUUGUCUCUUCGUUCGUCUCUCGAUUAUCCGGUGCCUUGUUCAAGUUUUCUCUCAGGUGGCGCAUGAUCUCUUCAUUCUCAGAUGUUUCCAUGCAUUCUUGGAAUUUCCCAUUCAGUUGUGAAUUCUUACCGGUGCUUCCUUCAAUUAUGCCUCAAGUGGUGCUUAUCUCUCUGCCUCUUCAAGAUUCAUUUCUAGAGGAAUAAGUGUUAUGCUAAAUCCGUUGCUUGUCAUCAUCUAAACUUGAUGAAGGAUAGGCAUAACAUAAUUCUUAUUCUUGUUCUUCCUUCUUCCAAGGGAUUUCAAUUCUUCUUCCGGAGUGGCUCAUGAUAUCAAUUCCUUUUCUCAAGUGCUCUUAUCUUUUCUUUUCCGGAGUUCCAAGUUCUAUCAAGUUUCUCUUCGUGAAGCUUCAUCUAAAUCUUGGCAAGGUCAUAACCUUAUUCUUUUCUACCUUCAUAUCGUUGCAUCGUUCAUUUGUAUACGGAGGUCCUUCAUGGCGGUUCAUCAUGAUAUCAAUUCAUUCUCAAAGUGUUCUUCAAGAUUCUAUUGGAGAACCUCAAGUAUCCUUUGUCUUGCAUUUCUAUGUGCAGUUGUUCUUCCUUUAUCCUUUGCGGUGGUAUUAUAGCAUUCUUGUUAGUGUAGGAGCCUCGAAGAGAUUUCCUUUCAAGAAUGAGAUAAUUAAAUCCACCAAUCCUUUGAUCAUGAGAUUAUUCUUAACCCAUGAUUUCUUCAUUGAGCUAUCUUGGUUUGGAUUUCACCUAAAGCUUUUCCUAUGGAUUUCUUCUAUCAUGGUGCUUGUCAUUAAUCCAAGUUCUCAAUGUAUCCUCUUGGUGUAAGUAAUUGUUCAUAUCUUGUUUCUCCCAAUCAACCCUUGUUUCCGUUAGUGGCUGGUUGUCACUUCAUUAGUUUGAAAGGUUUCCUUAAGCCCACUACUAUCUUGUUCUUUUUGUUGUUAUUUUUUCAACAACUCCGUGCAAUUCUUCUUGCAAGGAUGCUUGCCAAGUUCAUUUGCGAUAAUAGUUGUCAUUCUCUCUUCAUUCUCUUCUUCCGUAUGAGCUAGUUCAUAUUCUCUUGUUCCGGAGGCAUUGUGAUGUUGCUCUUUGGGUCAAUCAUGUUAUCCUAUCAAGUUCAUGGUGUUCCCUUGUUCUAUUUAGUUGUUUGUUAUGUAUAUUGUCUAAUUCUCCUACCUUUUCGAAUUUUUGUCCCAUUUUCCUACCGAAGUGCUGCUGAAUUUUUCCGUGAAUUCUUGCUUAUUUCUCUUAUCAUUCCUCAUCUCUUUGCAACCUUGAAGGAUCGUUGGUUUCACUCGUUUGUCAAAGAAGCGACUAAAUUCUUACCUCAUGUUCUUUCUCAUCCUCUCCCCCUUUCAUUCUUGGAUCUCGGGGCGAGAUCCUCUUGUAGUGUAGGAGAGUUGUGACAGCCCGAUGCUGACGUUCCAGAAGAUUCCCCUUCUAUUCCGUUUUCGUCGUGUGCAUAUUUUCUUCUGUGGCAUCAUCAUCGCAUCAUGCACAUCAUCAACUUUGCAUCGGCAUCUCCGUGCCACCAGUUUUCAAAACUUGCAUCCGUUGUUAGUUGUCGAUUCUCGUCGUUGUUCGUUCCGAGUCCGACCGCACUCGCACGCGCCCGCGGCAUCGUCGAAACCCUGUUUUUAAAAGUGUGGGUAAAACUUUUUCAGCUUGGGGUGAGAUUUGACGUGCGGUGUUAUUUUAAUAUAGCUAGACCGCCUGUCGAAUUUCGUCGCGAUCGAAGUCCGUCUGGUACCCGAACGGUCGACCGUAGCGGCGCCGUAUUCGGUCUAUCGUCGGACGUUUUUUGGUAUUUUAAAAAUAUGUUGCGGGGUGCCCGUUUUCCCUCUCAUCUUCGCCUAGCCCCUCUGCACAGUGCGUCGACCCUACUCGCGGCCAGUCCGAAAACCUCCCGGAACCCGAACCCGGGGUUGUGACCGUUGGAUCCGGAUCAACCCCGUUAUACCGCAAACCGUCAUUGGUUUGUCCAUUGCACUCCCGAUCCUAAUUAUCUCGACCAUCCGAUAUAAAUCGGAGGGUCCAGAUGCCCCUAUACCUAACCCACUAGCUAUAUAUAGAAUACCCUUGCUCAUUUAGACCAGAACCCUAGAAAUUCUCCCCCUGUCCCAUCAGCGCCGCCGCCGCACACCACGUGGUCUCCUACCUCGUUUUCCUCCACCUACCGAUCACGCACCAGAUCCAUGCCGAGCCAAGCCAGAGCCAAUCCCCUCUUCCCUCCUUGAUCGGUUCCCAGCCAGCCCCGCACCUCGCCUCAGCCUGCUCCUCUUGCAUGCGUUGUUCCCGCUUCCCUCCCGAGCAGCCCGAGGAACCGGAGCCGCGGCCUCCCGGCUGUGUUCGAGCCGCAGCAGCAAGGUGACCGAGCCUAGCUGCAGGAGCAGCCGAGCCGCCCCAUGGGGCCUCGAUCCAACAGCUGCAGCACCUACGUCGGCUAGGAGCGCCCCCAUGCCUGGAGCUGAUUCUUACCCGCGUCCCGCACCAAGUAGCAGCAGCAGCAACCCCGGUCGCCCUAAGAACCUGCAGGCCAGAGACCUCUCCUCCUCUCUCAUCUAGUCUCUUUUCCUCUCCUCAAGAUCUUUUCCUCUUUCUGUGUAUAGUGCAGCAGCAGGAGAAACCAUGGCGCCCACUCUCGUGUCUGCUGGAGCUGUGCCCGACGCCUACAGCCUCGGGAACGGGAUCCCCUCGUCCGGUUAUGCCCGGCCCGCUGGUGAAGAUCCCCGUCGAAGCCGCCCCUGCAGUCUCUGAUGAGCUGAGCCGCCACAGCCUGCAUCCCGUCCUGGCAACACAGAUAUCUCUGUUUCGUGAUUCAGUUUCGUCACACUUGCCCCACGGUAUGGUUCAUCUGGCACAAACCCUGCAAUAUAUCACUCAAACAUGCAUAGGUCAAUUGGCUUGUGACAACCGGUUCCAUCCCAGAGAUCUGGGGUUCGAAUCCCAGUAGCGCCAUAUUUAUUUUGCCAGUUUUUUCAUUAAAGUCGUUGUAAGGGUGCUUCACCUAGCGCAAUACUGCUUCUGUGAGCAUAAUUCUUGUGUAGCUAACUGGUAAGUCUGUUGUAUAGCGACCGUGAGGUCCUGGGUUCGAGUCCCCGGUGUGCCCUUUUGUUUUUCUGGUGUGUUAACUUGGUUCGAGUCAUAG